AUUGAACGCUGGCGGCAGGCCUAACACAUGCAAGUCGAACGAGUGGCGGACGGGUGAGUAAUGUCUGGGAAACUGCCUGAUGGAGGGGGAUAACUACUGGAAACGGUAGCUAAUACCGCAUACCAUCGGAUGUGCCCAGAUGGGAUUAGCUAGUUGGGGGGGUAAAGGCUCACCUAGGCGACGAUCCCUAGCUGGUCUGAGAGGAUGACCAGCCACACUGGAACUGAGACACGGUCCAGAUGCCGACGGGAGGCAGCAGUGGGGAAUUUUGCACAAGGGGCGCAAGCCUGAUGCAGCCAUGCCGCGUGUAUGAAGAAGGCCUUCGUGUUGUAAAGUACUUUCAGCGGGGAGGCGUUACCCGCAGAAGAAGCACCGGCUAACUCCGUGCCAGCAGCCGCGGUAAUUC
rnacentral:rRNA from 1 species